CUACUACUGCAUCAAUGACAAGACUGGGAUCAAGCGACGACAGCCAGGUCUCCAAAGAAUCAUGGCCACUACUCUGAAGAAUCAUGGUCUGAAUUGGAUGGACACUUUGAUCUUGAAGCAUCUGGGAAGGACUCAGUACAAAAUUGCAGAGUUACAAAACCAUAAUCAAAAUCUGAGAAUAACCAGGUGAUCAGCAAAGUUGGGGCAAGCCUUCUCCGUGACACUAAACCUAGGUCUGAAAUGACAGUGAGUGGUACUCCUCUCUUGCUUGAGCUCAAUCUCUUUUGGAACAACAUUACCAUAAGAUGAUAGAAGCGUUUGCUUCUGCAUGUUUGUGUGGCUGAAGUAAGUUCAUGUAAGCAGAUUCUUCUCUCCUUUUCUUUUUGUUCUUUGUUAAUUCCUUUAGAUCUCCAAAACAAGGCAUGUAAAUUCUGGUAUUAGCAAGUUUCUCUUUUUUUUGUUACCGGUGCCUUGUUGUUUAUCCAAUUGGAUGCCGAUGCUCAGUCUAGCAAAUUUCAGUAUAAAAUGUUAGUUGACUUUGCUGUGGACUUAAUGUCCGGUAUGUUUUCCAUGUGAUUGUUUUUUAGCAUGUCGGACAGGAAUACAUGAUACUGGAGCAAACCAGGUGGGCUGAUGGAGCUACAAGAUAACACACAUCUGAAAACAGCACAAAUCAUACUCCAACCAGGUCUAUCCAUACGAGCUUUGCAUCAUCAGGUUAGUCAGGAGGAAGGUGUAAAUGAUUUGCGUUCUGGAUCUUUUGUAAAUCCUUAAUGGUGGAUG